AGCACUGCCCCCGGUGAGUCAGGGUGGGGCUGGCCCCCUGCUUCGUGCCCAUCCGCACUCUGACUCUCCACCUGCCUGCAGGAGCU
ensembl:miRNA